CCUACGGGCGGCAGCAGUGGGGAAUAUUGCACAAUGGGGGAAACCCUGAUGCAGCGACGCCGCGUGAGUGACGAAGUAUCCCGGUACGUAAAGCUUUAUCUGCAGGGAAGAAAAUGACGGUUCCUGACUAAGAAGCCCCGGCUAACUACGUGCCAGCAGCCGCGGGAAUACGCAGGGGGCAAGCGUUAUCCGGAUUUUCUGGGUGUUAAGGGAGCGUAGACGGCAACACAAGUCUGGAGUGAAAGCCCGGGGCUUAACCCCGGAACUGCUUUGGAAACUGUGCGGCUGGAGUGCAGGAGGGGUAAGCGGAAUGCCUAGUGUAGCGGUGAAAUGCGUAGAUAUUAGGAGGAACACCGGUGGCGAAGGCGGCUUACUGGACUGUAACUGACGUUGAGGCACGAAAGCGUGGGUAGCGAACAGGAUUAGAUACCCCAGUAGUC
rnacentral:rRNA from 1 species